rnacentral:tRNA from 1 species
GGUGCUUUGCCCGAGUGGCCUAAGGGGACGGUCUGCAAAACCGUUUUUCUCCGGUUCGAAUCCGGAAGGCACCU